AGUGAACGCUGGCGGUAGGCCUAACACAUGCAAGUCGAACGGCAGCACAGGAGAGCUUGCUCUCUGGGUGGCGAGUGGCGGACGGGUGAGGAAUACAUCGGAAUCUACUCUGUCGUGGGGGAUAACGUAGGGAAACUUACGCUAAUACCGCAUACGACCUACGGGUGAAAGCAGGGGACCUUCGGGCCUUGCGCGAUUGAAUGAGCCGAUGUCGGAUUACCUAGUUGGCGGGGUAAAGGCCCACCAAGGCGACGAUCCGUAGCUGGUCUGAGAGGGUGAUCUGCCACACUGGAACUGGAACACGGUCCAGACUCCUAGGGGAGGCAGCAGUGGGGAAUAUUGGACAAUGGGCGCAAGCCUGUUCCAGCCAUACCGCGUGGGUGAAGAAGGCCUUCGGGUUGUAUAGCCCUUUUGUUGGGAAAGAAAUCCAGCUGGCUAAUACCCGGUUGGGAUGACGGUACCCAAAGAAUAAGCACCGGCUAACUUCGUGCCAGCCGCCGCGGUAA
rnacentral:rRNA from 1 species